rnacentral:rRNA from 1 species
GACGAACGCUGGCGGCGUGCUUAACGCAUGCAAGUCGAACGGGCCUUGUCCCCUUUUUUUUGGGGGUGGGGUUAGUGGCGAACGGGUGAGUAACACGUGAGUAACCUGCCCCUCACUUCUGGAUAACCGCUUGAAAGGGUGGCUAAUACGGGGUGUUCUGGCCUGCUCGCAUGGGUGGGUUUGGAAAGAUUCGACCGGUUUUGGUUGUUUUGGUGGGGGAUGGGCUCGCGGCCUAUCAGCUUGUUGGUGGGGUGAUGGCCUGCCAAGGCUUUGACGGGUAGCCGGCCUGAGAGGGUGGGCGGUCACACUGGGACUGAGACACGGCCCAGACUCCUACGGGAGGCAGCAGUGGGGAAUAUUGCACAAUGGGCGCAAGCCUGAUGCAGCGACGCCGCGUGAGGGAUGGAGGCCUUCGGGUUGUGAACCUCUUUCGCCAGUGAAGAAGGUCCUGCUCUUUGUGGUGGGGUUGACGGUAGCUGGGUUAAUGAAGCGCCGGCUAACUACGUG